rnacentral:lncRNA from 1 species
UUGAAAGUUUUGAGGAGCCCAAGGAUCUAUCUAGAUUGUAUCUAUCACCUAGAGGGGGGUGAAUAGGUGAACGGCCAAAAACCACAAAUCUCGAUGCAAUAAAAAUAAAUGCGGAAAAUAAAAAGCACACCGAGAUUUACGUGGGAAAACUCCAACUUGGAGAAAAACCCACGGGACCAACACGCGAAAAAAUAAUUCACUAAGAAAAAAGAUUACAAGGUGAUUACCGACUCCACGGACUCUACCUCUCUUAACCUCCUAUGAAUCUUCGCGCUACCCUCCGGGUUGUCCACGCCCUCACGUCCGAAUCCACGAACGCCUCCACUUCGAAUCCACGAAGCUUCAAUCACGCCGAAUCCACGACGCCACUCGAAUCCACGAGCCAACGAUCCGAAUCCACGAACCGCCGUCAAAUACGCCGAAUCCACGACGCCACCAUGAAGAAUAUCAUGAAUAUGGUGAUCCUUCGCUUUGGAGUAUUGUAGAAAACCAGGGAAGAGAACUCCAAGCAAAGCGGAGAUCAAAUCGAUAUAUUAAUAUCAAAUUUCAAUAUCUCGAUUUGAUCUAAAAGAGGCUUUUUGUAGAGAAUAGGUUUUUUAUGAAAUCCGAGCCUCUAGGAUUUCUCAAAUAUGUAUUUUCGUGAUGCCUAAUCAAUUAGAGAACCCCUAUAGCUUAUUUAUAGACUUUAGAAUCAAAACAGAGUAGGACUAGAAAGUUUCUUUCCAAAAACAGCACCUUGUACCGGAACAAGGAAAGCUGUCCAGGGUACACCAUGACGGAAGAUUUUUCUGCGAAGCUCCUGUACCCUGGAUAGCUUCAGCUUGUUCCGGAACAGGGCUUGUACCGGUACAGCAUGAAGCUUGUACCGGAACAACCAUCAAACUUUCUGCGCAAACGUUGAUGGCUGUACCCUGGACAGAAAACCCUUGUACCGGUACAGCAAUGCAAUUUUCGCUGAAAAUGCAUUGUUUUGGAUUUUACAAACUCUUAGAAACUUUCUAAUCAAUUACAACUUGAAAACAUGAUUCUAAGAUCUAUAAUUAAGUAUGAAUCACCAUAAACAAGAUUUAAAGCUUACCUAUGCAUCGUGAUUCAUGUUUUACGUGUUUUGCGUCCUUUCCGAUUCUUCGAAGUCUUGGAUUCUUCGAUCUUCAAUACUCCGCUCCGAACUUCUUCAAGACUCCGACUCGACCCACGAAACUUGCCAACACAUAGGACUUAACAAUCUCCCCCUUUGGCAAUUUCGUGACAAAACACACAUAAACUCACAAAUUACAAUUUAAAGAAAAAACGAAGUUCAAUGUCAUCACCAAAACAUCGAACCGCUCGCGUGUAAUCCAAAUACAAUUUGAAACUCAACGAAGUUCAAUGUCUCCCCCUUUGUUCUUGAACUCAUCAUCCUCUGCUUCAGUUCAAUGCCUGUUCAUCCAUGCUCUCCCCCUUCAUCUACGCUCUCCCCCUUUUUGUCAAAAAUUGCCAAAAGAAAGCAAAUAAAUAGAGAAAACAUACUAGAAAAAUAUGAGAGUAGUUUAGUCAUAGUUACAGGCCUAAAACAAAAGUAAAAACAUACUGCAGAAAGAUAAACAAGCAAAUCUAAAACAUCGUCCUAAACAUCAAAUGCAGGAAAAGAAAGAGACUAAGCUUGACGAAGAAAUCACUCCGUGUCCUCAUCAUCAUCAUCAUCUCCAGCACCAGCUCCAGAACCUCCAGCCUCAGGAGCAUCACCAGACGGUGGAAUGAGAGGAUGUCGUGAAGAUGACCUCUGAUACGAAGUAGAAGAUGGAGUAGGUUCCCAAAUAUCAUCAUGUCUACACCCCAUCUUAUCCAUCAAUCUUUUGAUACUUAACUCAAACUUUUUGAUGCCGGACUCAACUUUCCUUCCAAUGUUGUUCACUUUCUUCUUUAACUUUCGCAAAUCUUUCUUAACAGAUUCCAAUGUCGUCGCUUCCCCCGAACUAGAUGAAGUGUCAUAACUUCCUCGAGAUGUAGGCGGAGGAGCAGAGCUAGAAGAUGCUCUCGGUGGAGGUGCUGGACUAGAUGCUUCAGGAGGUGCCCCUUUGGUCUGAUGAAAUGACUUGAGAGUGCUAACAGACUUAGCCCAAGUCACUGUGUAAUAUACCGAAAAUUCGGAAAAUAAAUAUCGCUUUAGUCAAAUUGACCAAAGUGCGAGGACGGUACACUUCGGAAAGUCCGAAGGUGCUAAAAUGAUCGAAAGUGAGUUGUGGAAGGUUUUCGAGAGCUAAAGAAUCAAUUCUGCAAAACUGCAGAUUUUCAGCUCUCGGGGACCGGUCCCUAAAGGGAGAGACCGGUCCCCGAACACGUAUGAAUUGAGACAGCCGAAAAAUCGGCUAAGUCCUGGAAAGAUAGCUCUCGGGAACCGGUCUCUGCCUGAGAGACCGGUCCCCCAGAGACCGGUCCCAUAAGGAGAGACCGGUUGCACUGCGCGCAGCAGCUCUGGCUGCGCAGGGUGGACGUUCGGGAACCGGUCCCUGCUCGGGAGACCGGUCUCUGCCUGCGUGGAAUGCCCAGUUCGGGCAGUGUAUUAAAGUGAAAGUUGAGGGGUUUAUUUGCAUUUUGGCAACCCAUUGAGCUAUGUUAGGGGGGCUGAGGGGUUUUUCUCUCAUUUCUCACCCUCUCACACUCUCUUCUCUCCCUCUCUCUCUCUAGAAGACAAAGGAGAAGAAGAAGAAAGGAAGAAAAGAAGGAAAAGAAGGAGAAGAAAGUGAAGAAGAAGAUCAAGGAGCAAAGGAGCCUCAUCUUCUUCCUCUCUAGGGCAAGAAAGGAAAGCUUACAAGGUAAGCUUUGAUCUAUAUUGUAGAAAAACCCUAGAAUGAGUUUUGAAUAACCUAGAAAUGGGUUUUAAUGGGAUAUUUGAAGAGUUUUGAAGCUUUCUUUUGCUUCUUUAGAGAUCAAAUCCAUGGUUGAGCUCAAGGUGAGCUUCAACCCACCUCUAAUGGUGAAAUCCAAACUAGGGUUUUGGAAAGCCUAAGAAUGAUUCUAAUGGGCUAUAUAGAGUAUAAUGAAGCUACUUUUGCUUCCCAAUGAGAUCAAACCCUAGGUUUUGAUGUACAUUGGAGCUAGGGCACCCAAAUUGGGGCUUUUGCUCAUGAAGGUUUCUAAGUGCGAUUGACCCUCUAAAAACCUAAUUGGGGGUAUUUCCAACGCGUUGGUGCGCUCGGAAUAGCAUUUCGAAAAGUGUAUGAAAAGUUAUGGGCAAAAUGGCCUAAUAAGGGUUCGUUUUGCCGCAGGGAAAGAACGAGGCAUCUAAAAAUUCUAAGAAAAUCAUCGGAGCACCUAAAGAGACCUACAAGGUGGGUGGUGCUUUUCAAACUCAUUGAAAUUCUCUCUAUGCCUAAUGUGUCAUUCUUUGAGCAUAUGUUCUAUAUAUUGUUGCAUGCAUUUUAGGGUAAAGUAAUGAUGAAAUGUGAUGAUUGCAUGAUUGUGAGCACAACUUGCAGAAUGAGAUGGUUGAGAACCUAAUAAUGUCAAAACCCUAGAUAUAUGCAUGAGAGAAGAUGUGAGUACCCAAAGUGAGUAAAAGAACAGAGUGGCACAAUGACAUAGAUCGAGUGGCAUUCGAUAAAGCUAAUGUGAAAUGACACUAGAGUUAGUGUGAUGUAAAGAAUUUAAGUGAUGUAAAGAAUGAUGAAAAUGACGACAAGUAAAGCUAAAGUAAAGUGGGCAAUAAGAACAAGAAUGCUAGAGUUAGCAAAAAUAAAAGAAAUGCAAAGAACAAUGAUUGCUAGAGUUAGCAAGAGUAAUGAGAAUGUAAAGAAUGUGAUUGCAUGAGUUUGCAACAUAAAGUGAUGUAAAGAACACUAGAGCUAGUGUAAAGUCAAGAUUGACCUAUAAUCCUUUGAGUUAAGGAUAUGAUCAUACUUGCUGUUGAGUUCCGUGCUCGAGGGCGGUCGCUCCCCCUCGGGCGAUGCGCUCCGGAGUUAUGCAUCCGGGUUGGAGUAGACCCGAAAGGACGGUCCUAGCUGGUGAGUACCUGCGAUGAUGGACUUAGCGUGAGGCAAGUUAAUGUGGCGAAACCCCCGGGUUAGCCUUAAUGAUUAAAGAGCAAAGAACAAAGAAUAAAGAACAAAGAGUAAAGUGAAAAGAACUAAAGAACAUGCAUAACCUGCAUCUAUUAAUGUUGAGCAUAUUCCUUGCUUUUGUUCAGGCAUAUUAGCAUCAUGUUAUAGAUUGGUUACCAUAUUUCAGCUUAUCCUUUCUAUUAUGCCUGAGUUAGUCCUAGUGGGAAAGUCGGUGAUGUUGAGGCCGAACCCACUGGGAACUUUGUUGUAGUUCUCACCCCACUAUUUCCACAGAGCCGGGACCGAGCGAGCCGGCGAGCGACCGAGGUAAAGGUAUCGCGCCUUAGUCAGAGGCCACCAGAGUUGGGUUUACAUUUUGUUAGUAGACACCUUUUUAUCAUCUUUUGUAUUUGAUGAUUUGUGAUGUAAAGAAAGAAUGUAAAGCUUAUUUUGAGGUAAAUGUGUUGUAAGAAAGAAAUGAUGAGAUUAUGUAAGAACAGCAAAGAAUCUUAAAUGUAAGAGAUGGAUGUAAUGUAUAUGAUCUAAAAUGAAUCAUAUUACUUGUGAAUGUAUAGUUUUCCUUUCUUUCACUUAUGGCUAUUGCUUACCCUCGUGUAAGCUGUUUGUGUAUGUUUCCGCUAGUGCUUUUCUCUAACGAUGAAAAUGUACGUGUGAUGAGCCUUGGGCGGAUAGGGGAAACUCUGUCCGUUCGGCGUCUGUUUGACGUGCUCGGGUCGGGCCAAAUUGGCAUCAGUCCCGGGGCGUGACAGAUAGGUUGGUAUCAGAGCCAAUAGUGAAAGAAUAGGAAUGGACCUAGAGACCUAUAGGAUUGGAAGGCCUUAAGGAUCUAGGAAACGUGAGUGACGUGGGAUCAAGUUAGCAAAAGCAUGUGAUUGGGUUAAGUUGGGACGUCUCUAAUGUGAUUAGAGGCUAAGUUUAAUUUUCUUUUAUCCUCUACUUCUAGUGUUGUGUCGGGCGGCCGACGACAUGACGCUUGAGGUCAGGAUGAAUGUGCAUGUUGCUUUCGCCUAAUUGGGUAUGGUCAAGUAAAGUUGGUCAGGUGACUAAUGCGAGUUGCUUCUUUUCAGGAAGCAAUGGCACCUCGACGUCGAUCCCAGACGAGGUCGAUGCCGGAGGAAACGAAUGCAAUGCCCGAGCAAUCCGGAGCGAGUGGCGACGGAGAGCUUAGGGAACAGAUGGCCGCGCUUAUUGGCAUAGUGCGGCAGCAAGCAGAGUCUGUUCAACGCCAAGGGGAACAGAUUCAGCGGCUCCAGGAGACCUUAGAGCGCCAGCAGGCGGCGGCAGCCCAGGCAGACGUCGAGCCUGUCGCGCCACCUGUGGUAGUGCCGAGUGUUGUUGAGGGAGCGGCGGCGGCGGCAGCUGUUCCAGUUACGGUAGUACCGGCCGGGUCGGGAACUUCGAAUCCCGAUAGCGCGACAGUCGAUGCGGAGCGAGAGCGUACUCUGGCGGCUCUCAUUCAGUUCAAGAAGUUCGACCCACCAACCUUCGAGGGCGGUUUGGUGGAGCCGGCGAUCGUGGAGUCAUGGAUCGACUCAAUGGAGACGCUCUUCGAGGAUUUGAAUACCUUGGAGAAGGAUAAAGUGUACCUCGCCACCCAUUCCCUAGGGAAGGCGGCGAUGGUGUGGUGGAAGCGAGUGAAGCGGGAUCGUCCUACCGAUCUUCCGCUUAUGCUUUGGGAGGAGUUCAAGAGAGCGGUAUUCGCGAACUACUUCCCCGACACGGUGAAGCGGAAGCUGCAAGACAAGUUCCGCAAGUUGAGACAGGGCGAUCGAUCGGUGGGGGAGUAUGAGCAAGAAUUCUCCCACAUUAUUGAUUGCGUUCCCGACGUUGUUCGUGAUGAUCGGGACCGGGCGGAUUGGUUCUUGCGAGGACUUCAACCCCGGAUUUAUGAGAAGGUGCAAAUCUUGAAGCUGUCGACCUUUGCGGAGGUCUUCGAUCGAGCUUUGUGGGCGGAGCACGGUAGCGCCCACGUACGUGAAGAGCGAGAAGCUAUGGCCGAGUCCAAGGACAAAGGCAAGAAGAGGACGGCGGGUGGUGCCGGGGGCCGGCCAAAUGAUAAGAAACCCCCUCGGUAUCCCCGACAGCAGUCGAGGAACUGGAGACCGCCUCGAUGUGUUAUAUGUGGCGGAGAGCACAAGGUGACGACUUGCCCGCAGCGCGAUGGCAAGUGUUUCAAGUGUGGCCAACCGGGACACGUCAUCCGGGAGUGCCCGUCGUGGACGUCGUCUGCGCCGACGGCGGCUUCAACACCGUCUACCCCGAGACAGCUUGCGGGGUUACCACCGGCGAUGUCGGCUGGACGCGCGUCAUCACCGCGUCAGCCGGAGGGAUCGAGAGCGCCUAGCGGCCGAGUCUUUGCAGCUCAGGUGGAGGAGCAGCAACCUGCAGCACCCGACGACGUCGUGGCAGGUAUAAUUGUGAUUAAAGGCACUAGAGCUAGAGCAGUGUUUGAUACAGGCGCAUCUCAUUCAUUCAUUAGCAUUUCAUUUGCUAAGACUCAUGGCAUAGAGAUGGUAUACAAUGAGGAUUACUGGUGGGUGAACGCUCCAGAGCAUUCAUUCAGUGUCCAUAAUGAGUGUUUGGCGUGUCCAGUGCAAAUAGGCGAUUGGAUUAUGCCGAUUGAUCUGCUAGUGCUAGAUCAGAUGUGGGGAUUCGAUGUUAUCUUGGGGACCAACUGGCUCUCCAAGUACUAUGCGGUGAUAGAUUGUGAAGGUAAGGUGAUCACUUUUCGUGAGCCUAAUCAAGAAGAGUUAGUCUACCAAGCGUGCAAAAGUAGGCGCUUCGCGGCGACUAUAUCGUCUGUAAGGGCGAAGAGAAUGAUCAAGGGUGGAUGUAAGGCCUAUUUGGCAACCAUGGUUGAUGGCCGCAGGGAGCACCCAGACCUUGGAAGUAUCCGGGUUGCGUGUGAGUUCCCGGAUGUGUUUCCGGCGGAGUUACCGGGACUGCCACCGGACCGGGAAGUUGAGUUCGUCAUUGACUUAAUUCCCGGGGCGGAACCAGUUUCGAAGGCUCCGUAUAGAAUGGCACCGGUGGAGUUAAAGGAGCUAAAAGGUCAAUUACAAGACUUGCUCGAUAAGGGCUUCGUGAGGCCGAGUGUGUCACCAUGGGGAGCCCCGGUGCUAUUUGUGAAGAAAAAGGAUGGCACACUUCGACUCUGCGUAGAUUAUCGCGAGUUGAACAAAGUAACGAUAAAGAACAAGUACCCGUUGCCAAGGAUUGAUGAUCUAUUCGAUCAGUUGCAAGGGUCCAAGGUGUAUUCGAAGAUUGAUCUCCAAUCGGGGUAUCAUCAAUUAAAGAUCAGGCCGAAGGAUGUGCACAAAACGGCGUACCGUACGCGGUAUGGCCAUUAUGAGUUCACGGUAAUGCCGUUUGGGCUUACUAACGCCCCGGCAGCAUUUAUGGACUUGAUGAAUCGAGUCUUUAGGCCGUUGUUGGAUCGAUGCGUCGUGGUGUUCAUAGACGACGUAUUGGUCUAUUCGAAAAGUGAAGAGGAGCAUGAAGAGCAUCUGAGAGCUGGUGUUGCAAAUACUCAGACAAGAGAAGCUCUAUGCAAAGUUAAAGAAAUGUGACUUUUGGCUAAAGGGAGGUCACAUUCUUGGGUCAUGUGGUAUCGGGCGACGGAGUUUCGGUAGACCCGAAGAAAGUGGAGGCGAUCAAGGAUUGGCCUCGCCCGAACGAAUGUAGCGGAGAUCCGCAGUUUUCUUGAACUGGCGGGCUACUACCGGCGGUUCGUGGAGGGGUUUGCCAAAAUAACCACUCCACUAACGCGCCUCACGCAUAAAGGAGUAAAGUACGUGUGGAGCGACGAUUGCGAUCGAAGCUUCGAGGAGUUAAAGAGCAGGUUGACGUCAACCCCGGUGCUUGCUUUGCCAACUCCGGGAGAGACCUUUGUAGUGUACAGUGAUGCCUCGUAUGUUGGUCUCGGGUGUGUAUUAAUGCAGAAUGGGCGAGUUAUUGCUUAUGCGUCGCGCCAGUUAAAGAGUUAUGAGAAGAACUACCCGAUUCACGACCUCGAGUUAGCCGCGGUGAUCUUCGCGCUAAAGCUUUGGAGGCAUUACUUGUAUGGUGAACAUUGUGAGGUAUAUACCGAUCACAAGAGCCUAAAGUAUUUGUUCACCCAGAAAGAGUUGAAUAUGCGACAGCGGCGGUGGUUGGAGUUGCUAAAGGACUAUGAUGUCACCAUAUUAUACCACCCUGGAAAAGCCAAUGUCGUGGCCGACGCUCUAAGUAGAAAAUCGGCGGAGAACUUAGCGACGGCAAUUACGCCUCAACCGCUAUUGCAAAAGGAAAUGCAACGAUUUGGGUUGGAAGUGGUAGCGCCGGGAGUGCCGGCUACACUUGCCACACUAGUUGUGCAACCGACCCUAUUUGAGAGAAUCAAAGAGUUACAAGCUUCAGAUCCUUAUCUCCAAAAGGUUCGAGGUGAUGUGGAAAAUGGCAAUGCCGAAGACUUUGGCAUUGGAGCUGAUGGCGCACUUCGAUUUCGAAAUCGAUGGUGUGUGCCUAAAAAUGAUGAGUUGCGAAGGGCGAUCAUGCAAGAGGCGCAUCAAUCUCCCUAUAGUAUACACCCUGGCGGCACUAAAAUGUACAAGGACUUGAAAGAGCACUAUUGGUGGCCGGGUAUGAAAAGAGAUAUCGGGGAGUUUGUGGCGCAAUGUUUGACGUGCCAACAAGUAAAAGCUGAGCGCCGAUUUCCGGCGGGGAAGCUGCAAAGUCUACCAAUACCCGUUUGGAAAUGGGAAAACAUAGCAAUGGACUUUGUUACCGGUUUGCCUCGAUCACAAGGCGGACAUGAUGCGAUAUGGGUGAUAGUGGAUCGAUUGACAAAAUCGGCACACUUCUUGCCGAUACAUACUACGUGGUCGGGAGACAAGCUAGCGCAAGUUUAUCUCGACGAGGUUGUGAGACUUCAUGGGGUCCCAGUAUCGAUCGUGUCGGAUCGCGACCCCAGGUUCACAUCCCACUUUUGGAAAAGUUUGCAAGACGCGCUAGGCACACGGCUCGACUUCAGUACAGCGUUUCAUCCUCAAAGUGAUGGACAGUCGGAGCGGACGAUACAAAUCCUUGAGGAUUUGCUUCGAGCGUGUGUGCUAGAUUACAAAGGAGGAUGGCAUGAUUUCUUGCCUAUGGCGGAGUUCGCCUACAAUAAUAGCUACCAAGAGAGCAUAGCAAUGGCGCCUUUUGAGGCACUAUAUGGACGUAAGUGUCGUUCUCCUAUCCAUUGGAGCGACGUGGGCGAGAGAGCGGCUCUUGGCCCUGAUGUGGUGCGGGAGGCGGAAGAGAAAGUUCGCCUUGCCCGUCAACGGUUGGCGAUGGCGCAAUCUCGGCAAAAGAGUUAUGCCGACAAGCGAAGAAAGGAUUUAGAGUUCGCGGUUGGAGACCGUGUAUUCUUGAGAGUAUCGCCGAUGCGAGGAGUUAAACGAUUUGGGGUCCGUGGGAAGCUAAGUCCCCGAUAUGUCGGACCAUUUGAGAUAUUAGAGCGUGUGGGUGCGGUGGCGUAUAAGCUCGCAUUACCACCGAGACUCGCGGGAGUUCACAAUGUGUUUCAUGUGUCGAAUCUUCGAAAGUAUAUUCGCAAUGCGGCACAUGUAUUGGAGUAUGAGCCCGUGGAGCUACGUGAAGACAUGUCCUUCGAGGAGUACCCGGUGUGCAUCCUCGAUCGAGAAGUAAGGAAACUUGCGAAGUCGCAAGAUACCAUAUGUAAAAGUCCAAUGGAGCAACCAUGAUGUGCGAGAAGCCACUUGGGAGCUCGAGGAAACCAUGCGGAGAGAGUAUCCGCAUCUGUUCGAGUCGACGAGUUAAGGUAUGCGUAAUUUCGCGGACGAAAUUAUUUUAAGGGGUGGAGAAUGUAAUAUACCGAAAAUUCGGAAAAUAAAUAUCGAACUUUAGUCAAAUUGACCAAAGUGCGAGGAAGGUACACUUCGGAAAGUCCGAAGGUGUUAAAAUGAUCAAAAGUGAGUUACGGAAGGUUUUCGAGAGCUAAAGAAUCAAAUUCUGCAAAACUGCAGAUUUUCAGCUCUCGGGGACCGGUCCCUGGUGGGAGAGACCGGUCCCCGAACACGUAUGAAAUGAGACAGCCGAAAAAUCGGCUAAGUCCUGGAAGGAUAGCUCUCGGGAACCGGUCUCUGCCUGAGAGACCGGUCCCCCAGAGACCGGUCCCAUAAGGAGAGACCGGUUGCACUGCGCGCAGCAGCUCUGGCUGCGCAGGGUGGACGUUCGGGAACCGGUCCCUGCUCGGGAGACCGGUCUCUGCCUGCGUGGAAUGCCCAGUUCGGCAGUGUAUUAAAGUGAAAGUUGAGGGGUUUAUUUGCAUUUUGGCAACCCAUUGAGCUAUGUUAGGGGGGCUGAGGGGUUUUUCUCUCAUUUCUCACCCUCUCACACUCUCUUCUCUCCCUCUCUCUCUCUAGAAGACAAAGGAGAAGAAGAAGAAAGGAAGAAAAGAAGGAAAAGAAGGAGAAGAAAGUGAAGAAGAAGAUCAAGGAGCAAAGGAGCCUCAUCUUCUUCCUCUCUAGGGCAAGAAAGGAAAGCUUACAAGGUAAGCUUUGAUCUAUAUUGUAGAAAAACCCUAGAAUGAGUUUUGAAUAACCUAGAAAUGGGUUUUAAUGGGAUAUUUGAAGAGUUUUGAAGCUUUCUUUUGCUUCUUUAGAGAUCAAAUCCAUGGUUGAGCUCAAGGUGAGCUUCAACCCACCUCUAAUGGUGAAAUCCAAACUAGGGUUUUGGAAAGCCUAAGAAUGAUUCUAAUGGGCUAUAUAGAGUAUAAUGAAGCUACUUUUGCUUCCCAAUGAGAUCAAACCCUAGGUUUUGAUGUACAUUGGAGCUAGGGCACCCAAAUUGGGGCUUUUGCUCAUGAAGGUUUCUAAGUGCGAUUGACCCUCUAAAAACCUAAUUGGGGGUAUUUCCAACGCGUUGGUGCGCUCGGAAUAGCAUUUCGAAAAGUGUAUGAAAAGUUAUGGGCAAAAUGGCCUAAUAAGGGUUCGUUUUGCCGCAGGGAAAGAACGAGGCAUCUAAAAAUUCUAAGAAAAUCAUCGGAGCACCUAAAGAGACCUACAAGGUGGGUGGUGCUUUUCAAACUCAUUGAAAUUCUCUCUAUGCCUAAUGUGUCAUUCUUUGAGCAUAUGUUCUAUAUAUUGUUGCAUGCAUUUUAGGGUAAAGUAAUGAUGAAAUGUGAUGAUUGCAUGAUUGUGAGCACAACUUGCAGAAUGAGAUGGUUGAGAACCUAAUAAUGUCAAAACCCUAGAUAUAUGCAUGAGAGAAGAUGUGAGUACCCAAAGUGAGUAAAAGAACAGAGUGGCACAAUGACAUAGAUCGAGUGGCAUUCGAUAAAGCUAAUGUGAAAUGACACUAGAGUUAGUGUGAUGUAAAGAAUUUAAGUGAUGUAAAGAAUGAUGAAAAUGACGACAAGUAAAGCUAAAGUAAAGUGGGCAAUAAGAACAAGAAUGCUAGAGUUAGCAAAAAUAAAAGAAAUGCAAAGAACAAUGAUUGCUAGAGUUAGCAAGAGUAAUGAGAAUGUAAAGAAUGUGAUUGCAUGAGUUUGCAACAUAAAGUGAUGUAAAGAACACUAGAGCUAGUGUAAAGUCAAGAUUGACCUAUAAUCCUUUGAGUUAAGGAUAUGAUCAUACUUGCUGUUGAGUUCCGUGCUCGAGGGCGGUCGCUCCCCCUCGGGCGAUGCGCUCCGGAGUUAUGCAUCCGGGUUGGAGUAGACCCGAAAGGACGGUCCUAGCCGGUGAGUUCCUGCGAUGAUGGACUUAGCGUGAGGCAAGUUAAUGUGGCGAAACCCCCGGGUUAGCCUUAAUGAUUAAAGAGCAAAGAACAAAGAAAAAGAACAAAGAGUAAAGUGAAAAGAACUAAAGAACAUGCAUAACCUGCAUCUAUUAAUGUUGAGCAUAUUCCUUGCUUUUGUUCAGGCAUAUUAGCAUCAUGUUGUAGAUUGGUUACUAUAUCCUGCUUAUCCUUUCUAUUAUGCCUGGGUUAGUCCUAGUGGGAAAGUCGGUGAUGUUGAGGCCGAACCCACUGGGAACUUUGUUGUAGUUCUCACCCCACUAUUUCCACAGAGCCGGGACCGAGCGAGCCGGCGAGCGACCGAGGUAAAGGUAUCGCGCCUUAGUCAGAGGCCACUAGAGUUGGGUUUACAUUUUGUUAGUAGACACCUUUUUAUCAUCUUUUGUAUUUGAUGAUUUGUGAUGUAAAGAAAGAAUGUAAAGCUUAUUUUGAGGUAAAUGUGUUGUAAGAAAGAAAUGAUGAGAUAUGUAAGAACAGCAAAGAAUCUUAAAUGUAAGAGAUGGAUGUAAUGUAUAUGAUCUAAAAUGAAUCAUAUUACUUGUGAAUGUAUAGUUUUCCUUUCUUUCACUUAUGGCUAUUGCUUACCCUCGUGUAAGCUGUUUGUGUAUGUUUCCGCUAGUGCUUUUCUCUAACGAUGAAAAUGUACGUGUGAUGAGCCUUGGGCGGAUAGGGGAAACUCUGUCCGUUCGGCGUCUGUUUGACGUGCUCGGGUCGGGCCAAAUUGGCAUCAGUCCCGGGGCGUGACACACUGAGUCAAUAGGCCCAAGGCCAACAUCAUAUUUGUCACAAGAUGUAUCCACUCCAUUUGCUUGAAGAAUCCUCAUAAUCAGAACAGGGAAUGGUAGUAGAUCCCGUCGAGUGGCACCCUGAAUUACGUGAAUCAUCCUUUGCCAUAUCAGAAAUGGAAUGUUGAUGUUCAACCCACGAGCCUGCUCGGGAUGACCAAGUAGAUAUAGCAACACUAAUCUAUCCCAGCGGAUCCUCUUUGUGCCGAUAGUUGGUUGAACAUUGUAGCUCAUAACCAAGGAUAGCAAGUGAUACUCAGGUAAUAAGUCUUUGGAUUCAAUGUAACCAUGAGUCAUAUAAACACCGGCUUUGCAUAUAGCUCCAAGAACGAUAUCCAGGUGAGUUGAUGCUUGAAAUCCUCCUGAAGUAUAGAGAAGACCUGAAGUGUCCACAUGCAUCCCCAAGAUCUCUCCAAUAUCAUAGGGAGUAACUGGAAAUCUCCUCUGACGCACAACAGUCUCGAAGAUAAAAGUGCCUGUUUCAUCAUCUUCAGCAAGCACCUUUCCAUUCAUAUAGAACUCCCUAAUGAGUUCUACACAGAAAGGAGCCUUCGCAGGGACCCGUCCAACAGGCUCAAUAGGCGCAUGCUGUAGUAAUCGUCCAAAAUCAGGAACCUCUCGAAUCAGAUCAUGGAAGUUCACAAAGCGUUCAGCUAUGCACGAUUUUGAUGCAAACAACCUUCGCUUUGCUGGAGGAACUUCUGCAGCUUGUUUUGAACGUCCCUCACGAGUAUGAUAACCACCUCCGUGAGAUGAUUCACCAACUAAACCUUUGCCUUUGUCAAGUUGCGCAAUAGGUUCUUCAGAUUCUUCAGGGGAGCUCUCCUGAUAAUCCGGAUCAGACCCGGACGCUUCUUCAGUGGUACGUGUCCUUUUAGAAACCCCAUGACGACCUCUACCACUACCACGACUCCGUCUCCCAGCCAUAAGCACCAAAAGCACCAGUACGAGCAAAAAUGCCAUUUUCCUAUAUCAAAAAUUGCAUACAUGAACAUAAUUUCUGAAAAAAAUUUGUAAAAAUAGCGAAAAAAUUUCUAAAUACAUUAGAAUGCAUACAAAAACUAUUUCUAACCAGAUCAUGCAAAAUAUUUCAGCAAAAAUCAAACUUUUUGAAAAAUCCCGAAAUUACAUGCAUAUUAAAGCAUAAAUCCUAGAUCAGCGAAAAAUAACUUGUUAUGAUGUGAUUCAAGUGUUCUACAAGCAAGGUAAUGUCCUUAAGCAGUGAUUUAUAGCAAAAAAUUGCAUCAAAAACGGAUUAGAACAGAGAUCUAACCCUUAUCCUGCAACAAAACAGUGAAACUAACAAAACCGGGAUAAAACUCACAAAUUUGAUGCUAAAAACUUACAAAUCUACGGGGAAAACGUGUAGAACGAAUGAAGGAGAGUCUCUGGAGCUCACAGGACCAAAAAUUUUGGAAAACGAUGGAGAUUUGAGAAAGAUCGAAGCGUUAUACUCGGUUAUAUUUCGCUCGGCCGCAGACCUUGUACCGGUACACGGGUUCUUGUUCCGGUACAAGGACCAAAAUGUGAAAAAUUUUUUUUCGAAAAAUAUACUUUAGAAAUCCAUCACAUUUAAAUUAAAUUCAUAUAGUUAAGAUUUUUACUCCAAAAAUUAUUGUAAUGAAAAUAAAAUAUUAUACAAUUUCAAAACACAUCAAAACAUCAAAAUUUCAAAAUCAAAAAUAAUUUAAUGAUUCAAAAACAUCUAGAUGUAAGUCGAUGAAAAAUGAUAUUUAGAAAUUCAACAAAAUUGACACCAAUUGGUCGCAACAUGUUCAAAAUAGAGAUUUAACUAAUAUGGCACCGGGGGUGGCUCUUUGAGCAUCUUUUUCAAACUAGCACCUUAUAACUCCGAAAAUUCUAAAAUAUUCAUUUUUUUUUUCAACCUUUUUCGGUUACACAAUUCAAUAUUCAUGUGGUAGCUUCACACACUUGCCGGACGACCGGGGUGGCAGCUCUUUCCUACAUGUGGUGGUAGUUUUCACACUUCUUUUGGAUGUAACUCUUUCCACAUCUUUUAAACACAGGAGUUUCCUUUUCAUUCAUUUUUUUUUAUUUUUAAACAAUUUCAAACUCCCCCUAAAUUAGACAAUCUCACAGUUGAAAAUAAUUUUGACGAAUUUUAGUCAAUUCGAGAAUACCCAUUCAUCAUAUCCAACACUCACAACCAAGAUGAAUUAAUCACCAAAAAAUCAAAUUUGAUUUCAAAAUUUUGAUGAAUUUAUGCAUUAAGAAAUCAUAUAAUAUAUUAUCGUCAAAAUAAUAAAUAGUGGAGUAAAGACGAUAAUUAAUAUGAAUUUACCUUAAUAUGAUUGUGAAGAUUAAACCCGUUUAACCAAUCUUUUUAAAAAAACUUUCUCUCCAAAAAAAACGAUUCUCAAUCAUCACCUUUCUCAAAGAUUUUGAAAUUCCUAAUCACAUUUUCCUCAAAAUGAUUUUUAAAUAAACAAAAAUUCAAUGCACCAAAAAUCAUUCAAGCAUGUAAUGCAAUGAAUAAAGUUAAACAACAAGCACCAAUCAAAGCAUUACACUGAAAAUCAAAAUGACUAGAACGAGGAGUAAGGAAAGAUAUCACCUUUCCGGAUCCAAACUUGUCGGAUCGUUGGUUUUCUCGACUUGUCGAUGUUAGGUGCCUUUUGUUUAGACUUUUGAUCAACUGUUGGUGUUUUCUUCGGUUGAAGCUUCGGUUGAUUUAGUAGAUGAGGCUUGAGCACUUGUUUUGCAUGAACUUGGCGUUGUGCAUUAGAAGACCGGUUUGCUUGUGGCUUAGGUAGGAUCCGAUUCUUUUGAAGCACUCGACUCACUUGAUUUUGCUUUUGAUUCCGAGGGGGAAGUCGAGUUGUAGAAGGUGCCACUUGACGAUUAGAAGUUGCCGAUUGAUUCUUCUUGUCUUUGUUUGGGCAAUUCCUUUUGAUGUGUCCUUCGAUGCCACAUCGAUGACACACUUUGCCUUUUGAAGUUGUUGAGACUUUAGAUGUCGCCGUUUGAUCCUUCUCAACAUAUGUCCGUUCAUAUCCAAGACCCAAUUUGCUCGUUUGACCCAAUCCAAGCAUUUUGUCCAACUUCUUUGAUCCCGAAGAAAAUUGUUGAAGAUCGGAUUGGAGUUGACGAACUUGGUUGGUCAAGACUUGAUUGGACUUGUGCGAUUCAUGAAAUUGAUGCUCCAAAAAUCCAAUCUUGUCGUUAGAAGAUUUGAUCGUUGAUUCCGCAUCCCUAAGCUUCUCUUGGAGGUCCGAAUUAAUCUUCAAACUUGAAUCUCUUUCCUCCUCAAGAGCCUUAUUCAAACUCUUUACGUUGUUGUUCUCCUCCUCAAGUUCCAACAAACGACGUCUCAACUUCUUGUUGAGUUUAGCCAUCUUUCUUUGAUUCAAUAAGAAGUUGAUUGUACGCUUCCGCUAUGUCGUCGUCGUUUGAUUCCUCUUCACUUUCGCCAUUGUUGCUCGAUGAAUCAUGUGAAGAAAGAGAAAUAUUGGAGUUAGUAGCAAAAGAGGAUAAACACACAACAUUCGACGUAGGGAGUAUUAGCAAAUAAAGGCAAUUUGAUCAUUCUUUUCUUCGUCACUUGACGAUGAUUCACUUGAUGUUGAAUCAUCCCACGUCUUUGCUUGCAUAGCCUUUUGUCUAAACGUCUUCUUCGAAGGACAAUCCGUCGCAAUGUGACCGUAGCCUUUGCACUUGAAGCAUUGGAUCUCGCCUUCAAAGACAUCCUUUUCUUUCGAAGCCUUUGUGUCCCGCCCCGCGACCGCUACCAAUUUGGCUCGGCCCGGGCGCGUCGAACAGACGCCGGACGGACAGCACCUCCCCUGUCCGCCCAAGGCUAACAACGAGAUUGUGUACAACAAGUUCCCAGGAAAAUAACUUGAAUACAUACACAAUCGAUAACUACAACGAGAGCACAAUCAGUGCAAAACAACCAAGAGCAAGAUACAAGUAUAGAACAUACAAGUAAUGAUAAAGAGAGAGCAUCUAUCUAUUACAUUCAUUCAGCCUUUAUAAUACAAUUGAUUAUACAUUGAACUUCCAAAACAUAGUAUAAAGCUUACAUCUUUCAAACUAUAAACAUUAGUUUACAUUCAUCUCAAAAUAGCUCACAACCUAUACAUCAUCUACUCUCAAAGCAUAAAAGGUGACUCUAAUGCAGAAAUAGGAAAGUAGACUAAUGCAACUAGGGCGCUAAGCCCUUACCGCGAUCCUCGCCGUGUGAACUCGCGCUCGGCCCUGUAGUAAAAUGGGGGUGAGAACUAACUUCCUUAGUUCCCAGUGGGUUCGGCCGCCGACUCCGCCGAUCUCCCCACUAGGUCCAAGUCGGGCACAAGUAGAUAAUCGAUAGAUAAAUAGAUAAGGAAAGCGGUAAUAACAAGAGUAAAGCUACUCUACUAUGCCCAAUCAUAAAUAUAUGAAUGCAUGCACAAUGAAAUAGGUAAGCAAGUAACUUGUUAUCAUGUCCAAAGGUGAAGCUAUUCACUCGUUCAUUAACCUCAUUUACUUGUUUAUUAAUCUCAUGGCUUACCCGAAGGCUCGCCUACAGCUCACUAGCCAUCUCGAAGGUAGGGAGAAUUAACUCACACUACGGACCCGAGACCGUCUGGCGGGGCCAUAUAGGCAAUCCCUGGCGUGACCAACAUCCGGAGCGCACUACUUGUGUGGGGCUUCCAUCACAAGAUUUAACAGACCGCGAGCAUGAUCCAAUCCUCAUCUCGAGAAUACCCUAUCCUCUAGGGUUAUAAUCAUCAUAUAGUCCAUAGGUUUCAUAUACACUAUGACUCACAUAUGUCACUCGUUCUUUUGUUUACUAUCAACUAGAUGCCACUCGUUCUUUACAAGUUUCCAAUGCAAUAGCCAAUACAUUACUAAAUUCCCAUCCUCACUUAUCAUCUCAUUAUAGGGUUCCACAUCAUAUAUAUAAACCUCAAGCAUGCUAGAUAUAAGUACUAAGUCAAAUACAUCAUUCUACCAAAGGACAUGCAAGGAAUUGAACCAAACCAUCAUUUAUCACCCUAUAAUGCAAGAUGUCAAUAUGCAAUUUGAUCAAUAUAAACUUAGCGAUUGAUUCGGGAUGGACACCACCCACCUUUUAUAGCGUUCCGAUUGCUCGUCGUCACUCGCAAUCGGCCUCCUGCGGCGCACGCCGCACGGCUCGACCCAACUCAAGCGCGACUGCCAAAUGACCUCCUAUCCGCGAUCCGUCUGUUCUGGAGUUUAUUCCUCGACACCACGAUGCUACGAUUCCAUUUCCAUGAUUUUUGGAAGCUUUCGCCGCGAGCUGCGGCAAUCUGUACCUUAACGGCUUCGAUCCUCAAUAUCUCCGCGUACACUCGUCGGAUCGCCGAACCGAGCGCACCGUUGCGUUCGUAGACCUACCAAUUAGGUUUACAGAGGGUUAAAAGAGAUCAAACCCUCCUAUAAAUCAAAUCGCCAUUUUGGAGCCCUAGAUUUGUACUACGGCAAAAUCCACCAAAUUGAUCUCCCAUUCUUGCAACAAACGUCUAUUAAGCUUGCUAGAAUUCAUCUAAAUCCAAUUCUAGAGCAAAAGGGUCAAGCCCUAGAGAUCUACCAUUGAAGGGGUUAGCAAGCUUACCUCUUAAGCUAGCACAACGGAGAGGAGAAGAUGAGAAGAUGAAGCUCCACCUUGUUUGCUUCCUUCUUCACCAUCUUCUUCUUCUUCUUCCUCUUCUUCUUCUUCUCUUCUCCUCUUUCUUCUUCUCUUUCUUUUCUUUCUUCUUCACGUUAGAGAGGGAGAGAGAGAGGUGUUUUAAGUGAAGGAAAUGAGAGAAAGAGAGAAAGACCCUCUCUAUACACUCUCAUUAGUGCAAAAUUGCAUAAAAGCCCCUCAACAAAGCUUCCCUCGCAACAGCCCAAACUGGGCCAUUUUCGCGCUCGGGGACCGGUCCUUGCGGUGAGAGACCGGUCCCUGAGAGACCGGUCCUUGCGGUGAGAGACCGGUCCCCGAAGGUCCAGUACUCAGCCUCAAGGACUUAGCCAAAUUUCAGCCUUUUUCACCGUUUCUUCUCCGUUUUCGCCCGUUUUCGCUCGUUUGACCUCCGAUUCGUUUCAAAUCGAACCGAGACUCUUCAAACAUGUUUUCGAGCAUGUUUUCAUCAUCUUUUCAUCCACGCUAAUGCCGGAUUUAGCUCACGGCCCAACGUGGCCUUUCGGCUCCGUUUUCGCGCCUAUGCGCACCGAAAUGCCCGAUUGCUUCCGGACCUCACCGGGACCUCACCGAAAGCAUUCAAAUGGUCUUCCAACCAAAUGUACACCGUAACUUCAUGAUUUUAGAAGUCCGAUACCUUACAUCCUCCCCUCCUUAAUAAGAGUUUCGUCCUCGAAACUAACUCACCUCAAACCCAAUUCACACCCUAAUUCUCUUUAUUGAGUGACAAGGGGGUACAGUGCACUUUUGCAUCUCAGAGUGGCCUUGCGCUCAUAUGAACUAUCCGAAGGCCCACUACGGAGGACGUGAGACUAAAUUCGCUCACAUUUGCUUUGUGUAAGUCCAAAAGUGCAUUAUGGGUCUCCGUCAUUCUGGGUGGUAGCGCAAGUCGAAACUCAACGACUCUACGCCCUCCACACCAUUCACUAACUGGCCCACUAAGGCCAAACCACUUCCUUCGAGACCGGGACUACCCGCUAUCCUUAUGGUGUGGAGCUAUCAAGAACGCACCAAUAGUCAUAUGGUCCACCACCACGACACAGCACACACGGGUAAGCCCUCUCGAACCACCUGAGUGUCAACAAAGCGGCGCUCCGCCACUUUGGCUAUCCAAGAGUUCGUAUUUCUCAUUUACGACUCUUCGUCACUUUCACCAUCCCUCUAGGGGUCACACUCCAAUUCGAUCACCAAUAUCGCUUAGAAGCAACAUCAUUGGUGCAUCGACCCACUGCGAGUGCUCCAAUCGCAUUUGGAUCCUUGCUCUAUUCAGAGAUGGCCUACUUCGGCGCAUCUCGAAUCUUAAUCCAUAAAAGAGCAUUAUCUCCAAAUUCUCCAAAUUUUUUCCAACAUAACCCAGCCUGCCUGGGCAAAUUUCAUGCUCGGGGACCGGUCUCUCCUUGCCUGGGACCGGUCCCAGAGGGACCUCCUCAAUCUCACGCGUUCGGGAACCGGUCCCUCUGGCCUAGGGACCGGUUGCCUCGCGCUUGCCACAGCCCUCAGCCUCGGGGCAACCGGUCCCUCCCUCCUGGGACCGGUCCCCGAGAGCAAGCUCGCGUAGACAACAUUCGGGAACCGGUCCCUCCCACCAGGGACCGGUCCCCGAGAGCAAUUCUGCUAGGUGCAGAAUCUUGCACCAUUUGCUCUCGCGGACUCCAUUGCAAUGCACUUUUGGUGCAUUUGACUUCUUCGGCGUUCACGAAGCACCCUCACUCGACAAUUAGUCAAUUUUGAGUGAAGUCCAACUCUAGCAUUUUGAGAAUCUACUUCCCUUGCACCAACUCCUCCACGGAGUUAUCGGCUAAACCGAUUACGUCGGCUUCCACAGGUAGACCAGCGGUCACCAACACCACGUAGGCCUACUGUCUAAACCCGUCGCACUACGCAUAGCGUCUCUCGCUCGCAUCGUAGACCCAAUCAUCAUUGGGCGAAAUUCUCAUUGGAGAAUUCGCACACACUCCAACUAGGAGCAACCAAGAUCCCCAAACCACAUCAAGUCCUCGGGUUGGGUCACAACCGCACACUUAGUGCAUCAUCGAUUUCACAAUCCAACACGUGGCAUUCCACACUCCAAGGUCUAAGCUCGGACUACCGUCCUGACCAAAACUCUCCGCCCUACCUAUAGGUAUUGGGCCGCUGCCUCUCGCAGCUGACUGCGCCUGCCAAAUGGGCCCAGGCUCCACAGUCCACGAAGGGUCCAGGCACGGAUCGUCCCCAAGCACUACCCGCUAACGUCGUCCUACACGACACACUCUACAGAGCUACGCACUCUACCGGCUCCUAGGCACCUAGUGCGAGCCACUAGCCCUACGAGUGAUCUAUGGCCCGCUUCACACUUAGCCCUGCUAAAGUGCUACUGCCAAUUCACUCAACCGGCUGAAUCAAAACCGCACUUCACGCAUAACUACACCCGAGCGCUCUACGUCUCUACAGCGUCUCGCACGAAGUCUAGCAUCAGGCAACUUAGCCUAUGCACGCCGGCCACACGAGCAAUAACUCGUCCACCUCAGUUCGAGGUACUACUAGGCCCACAGGCCAAGUUCGGCGCUAAUCGACCAAUUUUGCAACAGUGGUUCAUCACCAUUGUUCGAUCUAUCGAGUCCACGUCCGAAAUACUCUUGGGAUAUCCAGGUGUCCCCAAACAUCAAGGCUCAACUCUUGCAAUAUCUAAUCUAUUGCAUCGAGAGUUCUCUUAUAUUUUCGAUUUCCAUUACGAGUCUCGUUUCUUAUCCAAAAUCACCACUAGCCGUUUGCUAGUGCCCAAUGGCUCUCUACCUGCCCCAGCAGGCGCCAUACUCUCAUCCUGCUAGCAUACUCGGGUACCUACUUACCCGACCACUCGGUGCCUACUAUGUAAUGUAGUAAUAGUAGUAACUGACCAUAUGAUGAAUGCAUGCUAUGCAACAACUUGAGAUCAUGCAAAGUAUAUGCUUGCUCAAGUAACUCAUACCUGCUACGACGACGUCGACAACAGCAGGCACCGCAACUCGGGUCGCUUAUCCAUGGCCACUUGGCGCUCAUCGCGAACCCUCUAAUUGCAACGUCCUCAACGGCUGCUCUCCCGACCAUGCCGCAGGUGGCGCACCUGCAGGCUGUCCCAGGGAGGGAUAGGCCGUCAUUAGCGUCAAGGCCCGGCUAUCGCCUUUGCGGACACUUGUCCCGCACAUGGCCCGGCAGCCCACACCUGAAGCACUUGCCCUCACGCUGUUCACACUGCCGUGGCAAUGAGGGACCCCACAACUAACGCAUCUCACUGAGGACCGAAUGUGGUAAGUCCCUGGAGCUCGGGAUCGCGAGCGCGAACUUAUCGAAGUUUGUUGGGAACUUGACUAACAAUCAUGUCCACUUACUGGCUGUCCUUUCCCCUUUUUUCCUUGUAGUAUGCCUCGCGCUCCUCCCGCAGGGAUUCCUCACUUUGUUCUAUCCACAAGGCCCGAUCCCGGACGUCGGCGGAAGUCUGCAACUUAUGUGCAAGCACAAUCUUGCAAAGGUCUGGCCGAAGUCCACGCACAAGGCAGUCGACCAUGUCCUUGUCAUCCCGUGCUACGCUCGGGACGCAACGCACGACACGGGAGAAGUCCCGCUCGUAUCGCCUCAUGGUGCUGUUUACCUGCCACAGCAUCGGAAACCCUUCUGAAGCUUCCUCGCUUACCGUCAGGGAAGUGAACGGAGAAUGCCAAUUCCCGAACUUAUCCCAGACCAUAGGAGGGAUACCAGGCAAUCGAUUCCGUCGAAUGCCUUUCCACCACACCUUUGCCGACUGUUUACAAGCAGCGUACGGCUAGGUGUGCCCUUCCUCACUCUACAACGCAUAGAUCCCCAAAGGGAGUCUCGCUCUCGGUUCGUCACCAACAGCUUGUCGGCACCGACCAAUCACCAAUUUCCUUAGGUAGGCGACAUACCACCAUGACUUAUGCGUGCUGGGUGACUGCUCUGACCUGCGUCCUGGUCUCUGCGGUAACAUCACCAACAGCAGCAGGUUCCUCGACUUGAGCCGCGUAUCUAGGGCCGCUUGGCGCCUCCUGUGAAUCCUCCGGCUGCUCGACCACCCCCAGCCCUACAGACUGUGCCACAGGCUGCACAUCCACCAUAUGUCCCGAAGAGGUGAAUGUCGACGCUAUCAGCGGGAGUUGUCCAUCACCCAAGGGGCAAUCAUACUUCAUGUGGCCAGACUGCCCACAACGAAAACACCUUCCCUCUCGCAGUGCACACCGCCGCGCCUGGUGGGAUCCUCCACAAAUCACACACCCCGUAGAUACGGCGGUAGCAGACGGGACUCCACCAAACUGUCGCUGAAUCUCUGGGGCAUCUGGGGCAGAUGCAACUGACGGGGCAGGUGGCACUCCUUCCGCGCACUGACGGGCCAUAUGUCCCGCUCGACCACACUUGAAGCACCGCCCCGCCCGAUCCCUACAUUUCCCUGCGCGAUGUCCUCCACCGCAGAUCACGCACCGCAUAGGUCCUUGUCUAAUGGACCGCCGCUUUUGGUACUUCGGGGCCUUUUUGGAACUAGACUGUUCCCCCGAACCACCACGAGGCCGUUUCUUCACUCCACUCUUCUUGAACGCCUUGCGUUCCUGUCUCGCUUCCCCAGCUGCCGCAUCGAGUAUCAUAGGACCCGAAGCCGCAAGAGAGACACUAGCCGGCAGGGGAUGCGCCGCCGCCGGAGCUACCAAAAUGCUCACGCCCUCAGGCGCGUUGGGCGCGUGAGCCGAGGGCGCGGGCGGACCAUGGUCUUUAGUUGUCGUCACGGCCGCCGUCGCCACUUGUCGCUCCAAAAGCUCUUGGAGCCGCUCGAUCUGACUUCCUUGGCGUUGAAUCACGCCGAUAAGCGUAGUCAUCUGCGCUCGUAAUUCUCGCACUUCUUCAGAUCCAGACUGCUCGGGCACCUCGGGCGAUGGUGCCAGAGUGGGUCUAGUCACGGGGCGUCUCUUUGGCGCCAUAGCUCCUGAAACGCAACAAUUUGGUUAAUCACCUUAACCCGUUAAUCUCGUCGCAACUACUAGACAACGUGACUCGAAUCAGGCGAAAGUCAUACAAGGGUGCCUAUUCUCAUCACUAGGUUUCAUGUUGUCGCGCGCCAACAUGAACACACUUGGGUGAGAAUACACCACACCUUGAGUCUACCUCUAAUAUCCGUCUUAGAGGUUUACAAAACUUGACCCAAUCAAUUCAACUUCCGCCACAACGCAUAGGUUCACGUCACUCACGCACCUAUAACCUUAGGGUUCACCGUCCUAGGGUCUCCUAGGUCAGUCCUAGACUCUCUCUUUACUUGCUCUUACUUGCUCUGAUACCACUUUAUCUGUCACGCCCCGCGACCGCUACCAAUUUGGUUCGGCCCGGGCGCGUCGAACAGACGCCGGACGGACAGCACCUCCCCUGUCCGCCCAAGGCUAACCAACAAGAUUGUGUACAACAAGUUCCCAGGAAAAUAACUUGAAUACAUACACAAUCGAUAACUAACAACGAGAGCACAAUCAGUGCAAAACGACCAAGAGCAAGAUACAAGUAUAGAACAUACAAGUAAUGAUAAAGAGAGAGAGCAUCUAUCUAUUACAUUCAUUCAGCCUUUAUAAUACAAUUGGAUUAUACAUUGAACUUCCAAAACAUAAUAUAAAGCUUACAUCUUCCAAAAUAUAAACAUUAACUUACAUUUAUCUCAAAAUACCUCACAUCCUAUACAUCAUCUACUCUCAAAGCAUAAAAGGUGACUCUAAUGCAGAAAUAGGAAAGUAGACUAAUGCAACUAGGGCGCUAAGCCCUUACCGCGAUCCUCGCCGUGUGAACUCGCGCUCGGCCCUGUAGUAAAAUGGGGGUGAGAACUAACUUCCUUAGUUCCCAGUGGGUUCGGCCGCCGACUCCGCCGAUCUCCCCACUAGGUCCAAGUCGGGCACAAGUAGAUAAUCGAUAGAUAAAUAGAUAAGGAAAGCGGUAAUAACAAGAGUAAAGCUACUCUACUAUGCCCAAUCAUAAAUAUAUGAAUGCAUGCACAAUGAAAUAGGUAAGCAAGUAACUUGUUAUCAUGUCCAAAGGUGAAGCUAUUCACUCGUUCAUUAACCUCAUUUACUUGUUUAUUAAUCUCAUGGCUUACCCGAAGGCUCGCCUACAGCUCACUAGCCAUCUCGAAGGUAGGGAGAAUUAACUCACACUACGGACCCGAGACCGUCUGGCGGGGCCAUAUAGGCAAUCCCUGGCGUGACCAACAUCCGGAGCGCACUACUUGUGUGGGGCUUCCAUCACAAGAUUUAACAGACCGCGAGCAUGAUCCAAUCCUCUAAGCUCGAGGAUACCCUGUCCUCUAGUGUUACAAUCAUCAUAUAGUCCAUAGGUUUCAUAUACACUAUGACUCACAUAUGUCACUCGUUCUUUUGUUUACUAUCAACUAGAUGCCACUCGUUCUUUACAAGUUUCCAAUGCAAUAGCCAAUACAUUACUAAAUUCCCAUCCUCACUUAUCAUCUCAUUAUAGGGUUCCACAUCAUAUAUAUAAACCUCAAGCAUGCUAGAUAUAAGUACUAAGUCAAAUACAUCAUUCUACCAAAGGACAUGCAAGGAAUUGAACCAAACCAUCAUUUAUCACCCUAUAAUGCAAGAUGUCAAUAUGCAAUUUGAUCAAUAUAAACUUAGCGAUUGAUUCGGGAUGGACACCACCCACCUUUUAUAGCGUUCCGAUUGCUCGUCGUCACUCGCAAUCGGCCUCCUGCGGCGCACGCCGCACGGCUCGACCCAACUCAAGCGCGACUGCCAAAUGACCUCCUAUCCGCGAUCCGUCUGUUCUGGAGUUUAUUCCUCGACACCACGAUGCUACGAUUCCAUUUCCAUGAUUUUUGGAAGCUUUCGCCGCGAGCUGCGGCAAUCUGUACCUUAACGGCUUCGAUCCUCAAUAUCUCCGCGUACACUCGUCGGAUCGCCGAACCGAGCGCACCGUUGCGUUCGUAGACCUACCAAUUAGGUUUACAGAGGGUUAAAAGAGAUCAAACCCUCCUAUAAAUCAAAUCGCCAUUUUGGAGCCCUAGAUUUGUACUACGGCAAAAUCCACCAAAUUGAUCUCCCAUUCUUGCAACAAACGUCUAUUAAGCUUGCUAGAAUUCAUCUAAAUCCAAUUCUAGAGCAAAAGGGUCAAGCCCUAGAGAUCUACCAUUGAAGGGGUUAGCAAGCUUACCUCUUAAGCUAGCACAACGGAGAGGAGAAGAUGAGAAGAUGAAGCUCCACCUUGUUUGCUUCCUUCUUCACCAUCUUCUUCUUCUUCUUCCUCUUCUUCUUCUUCUCUUCUCCUCUUUCUUCUUCUCUUUCUUUUCUUUCUUCUUCACGUUAGAGAGGGAGAGAGAGAGGUGUUUUAAGUGAAGGAAAUGAGAGAAAGAGAGAAAGACCCUCUCUAUACACUCUCAUUAGUGCAAAAUUGCAUAAAAGCCCCUCAACAAAGCUUCCCUCGCAACAGCCCAAACUGGGCCAUUUUCGCGCUCGGGGACCGGUCCUUGCGGUGAGAGACCGGUCCCUGAGAGACCGGUCCUUGCGGUGAGAGACCGGUCCCCGAAGGUCCAGUACUCAGCCUCAAGGACUUAGCCAAAUUUCAGCCUUUUUCACCGUUUCUUCUCCGUUUUCGCCCGUUUUCGCUCGUUUGACCUCCGAUUCGUUUCAAAUCGAACCGAGACUCUUCAAACAUGUUUUCGAGCAUGUUUUCAUCAUCUUUUCAUCCACGCUAAUGCCGGAUUUAGCUCACGGCCCAACGUGGCCUUUCGGCUCCGUUUUCGCGCCUAUGCGCACCGAAAUGCCCGAUUGCUUCCGGACCUCACCGGGACCUCACCGAAAGCAUUCAAAUGGUCUUCCAACCAAAUGUACACCGUAACUUCAUGAUUUUAGAAGUCCGAUACCUUACACUUUGCACGCUUCUUCUCCUUAGAUGUAGACGAUGAAGAUUUAGACGAUGAAGCCUUGUCCGAUCUAUUCUUCUUUCGAAAAUUCCGACGAAACUUCUUCGUGAGAAGCGCCAAUUGUUGUUCAAAGUCCGCAAUAGAGAUCUCUCCGUCGGAAUCCGAGUCUCCGUCUUUCUCUUUCGUCGAUUUCAAUGCAACCCCUGUGCUUUUAGAGAAAGACUUGGAAGAAGAUUGAUUAGUAGGAAAGGUCAUUUCAUAAGUUUGUAAAGCACCUACUAAUUCCUCGACUUUCAUCUCGUCCGGAUGUUUGACCGUUUCGAUCGCGGCUACUUUAGCCCGAAAACGUUCCGGAAGAGUUCGAAGAAUCUUUCGCACAACUUUAGCAUCCGGGAUCUUCUCUCCCAAAUUAGCACAUGUAUUAAUAAUAUCUUGAAGCCUAAUGUAGUAAUCGGUAAAAGAUUCAUGCUCCUCCAUACGAAUAGAAUCAAAUUGACUAGUCAACAUUUGGAGCUUUUGAAUUUUUACUAAACUAGUACCUUCAUGUGUAAUUUGUAGAGUGUCCCAAAUUUCCUUGGCGGUCUCACACGCCGAAACGCGAGUAAACUCCGUUUGUGACAAUGCAUUAAAUAAAGCAUUUAUGCCCUUGCCGUUAAACGAAGAUGUCUCGUUUUCUUCCUUUGUCCACUUGUUCCGUGGUUUUGGCUUUUCAACAUUAUCGACCUUUUCUAUCGGAUGUUUCCACCCAAAUUCAAUAGAUUGCCAUACUCGCUCAUCAAUAGCAAUUAGAAAAGCUCUCAUGCGAACUUUCCAAUAGGCAUAAUUCGUGCCGUCGAAGAGCGGAGGUCGAUUAAUGUUACCAUCCUUCGGCCAUUAGAUAAUAAUUUAUCUAGAUCCCGCUCUGAUACCAAUUGAAUGUUUUGAGGAGCCCAAGGAUCUAUCUAGAUUGUAUCUAUCACCUAGAGGGGGGUGAAUAGGUGAACGGCCAAAAACCACAAAUCUCGAUGCAAUAAAAAUAAAUGCGGAAAAUAAAAAGCACACCGAGAUUUACGUGGGAAAACUCCAACUUGGAGAAAAACCCACGGGACCAAUACGCGAAAAAAUAAUUCACUAAGAGAAAAGAUUACAAGGUGAUUACCGACUCCACGGACUUAACCUCUCUUAACCUCCUAUGAAUCUUCGCGCUACCCUCCGGGUUGUCCACGCCCUCACGUCCGAAUCCACGAACGCCUCCACUUCGAAUCCACGAAGCUUCAAUCACGCCGAAUCCACGACGCCACUCGAAUCCACGAGCUCCACGAUCCGAAUCCACGAACCGCCGUCAAAUACGUCCGAAUCCACGACGCCACUAUGAAGAAUAUCAUGAAUAUGGUGAUCCUUCGCUUUGGAGUAUUGUAGAAAACCAGGGAAUAGAACUCCAAGCGAAGCGGAGAUCAAAUCGACAUAUUAAUAUCAAAUUUCAAUAUCUCGAUUUGAUCUAAAAGAGGCUUUUUGUAGAGAAUAGGUUUUUUAUGAAAUCCGACCCUCUAGGGUUUCUCAAAUAUGUAUUUUCGUGAUGCCUAAUCAAUUAGAGAACCCCUAUAGCUUAUUUAUAGACUUUAGAAUCAAAACAGAGUAAGACUAGAAAGUUUCUUUCCAAAAACAGCACCUUGUACCGGAACAAGGAAAGCUGUCCAGGGUACACCAUGACGGAAGAUUUUUCUGCGAAGCUCCUGUACCCUGGAUAGCUUCAGCUUGUUCCGGAACAGGGCUUGUACCGGUACAGCAUGAAGCUUGUACCGGAACAACCAUCAAACUUCCUGCGCAAACUAUGAUGGCUGUACCCUGGACAGAAAAGCCUUGUACCGGUACAGCAAUGCAAUUUUCGCUGAAAAUGCAUUGUUUUGGAUUUUACAAACUCUUAGAAACUUUCUAAUCAAUUACAACUUGAAAACAUGAUUCUAAGAUCUAUAAUUAAGUAUGAAUCACCAUAAACAAGAUUUAAAGCUUACCUAUGCAUCGUGAUUCAUGUUUUACGUGUUUUGCGUCCUUUCCGAUUCUUCGAAGUCUUGGAUUCUUCGAUCUUCAAUACUCCGCUCCGAACUUCUUCAAGACUCCGACUCGACCCACGAAACUUGCCAACAUAGGACUUAACAAUCGUGACCCCCGGUUCACUUCACACUUUUGGAAAAGCCUGCAAGAAGUCCUUGGCACGCGGCUCGAUUUUAGCAUCGUAUUUCAUCCUCAGACCGAUGGGCAAACGGAGAGAACAAUACAAACUCUAGAGGAUAUGUUGCGAGCGUGUGUCAUCGACUAUAAGGGAAGUUGGUGCGACCAUCUACCCAUGGCCGAGUUCGCCUACAACAACAGUUACCAUGCUAGUGUGGAGAUGGCACCGUUCGAGGCUCUCUAUGGGCGGACGUGUCGAUCUCCUAUACACUGGAGCAAUGUAGGCGAGUGUGCCGAGUUCGGCCCAGAUGUGUUGCGAGAAGCGGAGGAGAAAGUCCGCCUUGCUCGCAAGAGAUUGCUCACGGCGCAGUCCAGACAGCAAAGUUAUGCAGAUAGGCGCCGUCGAGAUAUAGAAUUCGCGGUGGGCGACCGCGUAUUCCUGAAGGUUUCACCCAUGCGGGGUGUGAAGCGGUUUGGAGUGCGGGGAAAGCUAAGUCCCCGAUAUAUUGGACCAUAUGAGAUAUUAGAAUGAGUCGGCACGGUGGCCUAUCGACUUGCUCUAUCGCCGAAGCUUGCGGACGUACAUAAUGUGUUCCAUGUCUCCAAUCUCCGCAAGUACAAUCUCGAUGCAAUAAAAAUAAAUGCGAAAAAUAAAAAGCACACCGAGAUUUACGUGGGAAAACUCCAACUUGGAGAAAAACCCACGGGACCAACACGCGAAAAAACAAUUCACUAAGAGAAAAGAUUACAAGGUGAUUACCGACUCCACGGACUUAACCUCUCUUAACCUCCUAUGAAUCUUCGCGCUACCCUCCGGGUUGUCCACGCCCUCACGUCCGAAUCCACGAACGCCUCCACUUCGAAUCCACGAAGCUUCAAUCACGCCGAAUCCACGACGCCACUCGAAUCCACGAGCCCACGAUCCGAAUCCACGAACCGCCGUCAAAUACGCCGAAUCCACGACGCCACCAUGAAGAAUAUCAUGAAUAUGGUGAUCCUUCGCUUUGGAGUAUCGUAGAAAACCAGGGAAUAGAACUCCAAGCGAAGCGGAGAUCAAAUCGACAUAUUAAUAUCAAAUUUCAAUAUCUCGAUUUGAUCUAAAAGAGGCUUUUUGUGGAAAAUAGGUUUAAGAUGAAAUCCGAGCCUCUAGGGUUUCUCAAAUAUGUAUUUUCGUGAUGCUUAAUAUGUUAGAGAACCCCUAUAGCUUAUUUAUAGACUUUAGAAUCAAUUGGAGUCGAAUUAGAAAGUUUCUUUCUAAAAUCAGCACCUUGUACCGGAACAAGGAAAGCUGUCCAGGGUACACCAUGACGGAAGAUUUUUCUGCGAAGCUCCUGUACCCUGGAUAGCUUCAGCUUGUUCCGGAAUAGGGCUUGUACCGGUACAGCAUGAAGCUUGUACCGGAACAACCAUCAAACUUCCUGCGCAAACUAUGAUGGCUGUACCCUGGACAGAAAAGCCUUGUACCGGUACAGCAAUGCAAUUUUCGCUGAAAAUGCAUUGUUUCGGGUUUUACAAACUCUUAGAAACUUUCUAAUCAAUUACAACUUGAAAAUAUGAUUCUAAGAUCUAUAAAUAAGUAUGAAUCACCAUAAACAAGAUUUAAAACUUACCUACGCAUCGUGAUUCAAGUUUUGCGUGUUUUGCGUCCUUUCCGAUUCUUCGAAGUCUUGGAUUCUUCGAUCUUCAAUACUCCGCUCCGAACUUCUUCAAGACUCCGACUCGACCCACGAAACUUGCCAACACAUAGGACCUAACAAUCUCCCCCUUUGGCAAUUUCGUGACAAAACACACACAAACUCACAAAUUACAAUUUAAAGAAAAAACGAAGUUCAAUGUCAUCACCAAAACAUCGAACCCCUCGCGUGUAAUCCAAAUACAAUUUGAAACUCAAAAUUACAUCAAAACUCCUAAAACAGACUCUAUGACUUAGACGCAACUAGGAGUCUUGAAGUCUUGAUUUCCUGCAAAACAAUUCAUUCAAAAAUGAUUAGCACUAAAUUCUUAUACCUUCUCCUCCUUUGUUUAUAUCUCCUCCUUUGUUUUUAUCUCCUCCUUUGUUUUUGAGCUCAUCAUCCUCUGCUCUAGUUCAAUGCCUGUUUUAUCCACGCUCUCCCCCUUCAUCUAUGCUCUCCCCCUUUUUGUCAAAAAUUGCCAAAAGAAAGCAAAUAGAAAGAGAAAACAUACUAGAAAAAUAUAAGCGUAAUCAAGUCAUAGUUACAGGCCUAAAAGAAAAAACAAGCAGAACUGAAACUAAAACAUCAUCCUAAAAUGCAAAUGCAGUGAAAAAGCUCUCUAAGCUCGACGAACGAUCUCAGAUUUCAAAAAAAUUGCUUUAAAAAUCCAUCAAAUUAAAUUAAUUUUAAAUAAAUUAAGGCUUUUACUCCAAGAAUCAUUAUAAUGAUAAUAAGAUAUUAUAAAAUUUCAAAAUACAUCAAAACAUCAAAAUUUUAUUAUCAAAAAUAAUUUAAUGAUUCAAAACCAUCAAGAUGUAAGUUGAUGAAAAAUGAUUUUUAGAAAUUCAACAAAAAUUGACACCAAUUUGUCAUAACACGUUCAAAAUAGAGAUUUAACUAAUAUGAUACCGGGGGUGGCUCUUUGAGCAUCUUUUUCUCUUACCACCUUAUAACUCCGAAAAUUCUAAAAUAUUCAAUUUUUCCAACCUUUUUCGGUUACCCAAUUUAAUCGUCAUGUGGUAGCUUCACACACUUGCCGGACGACCGGGGUGGUAGCUCUUUCCUACAUGUGGUGGUAGUUUUCACACUCCUUUUAGGAUGUAACUUUUUCCACAUCUUUUACAUAUAGGAGUUUCUUUUUCUCCUCUUUUUUUAUUUUUAAACAAUUUCAAACUCCCCCUAAAUUAGACAAUCUCACAGUUGAAAAUAAUUUUGACGAAUUUUAGUCAAUUAGAGAAUAUCCAUUCAUCAUAUCCAACACUCACAACCAAGAUGAAUUAAUCACCACAAAAUCAAAUUUGAUUUCAAAAUUUUGAUGAAUUUAUGCAAUAAGAAAUCAUAUAAUAAAUUAUCGUCAAAAUAAUAAAUAGUGGAGUAAAGACGAUAAUUAAUAUGAAUUUAACUUAAUAUGAAUGUGAAGAUAAAACCCGUUUAAACAAUCUUUAAAAACUUUCUCUCCAAAAAAAAUGAUUCUCAAUCAUCUCCUUUCUCAAAGAUUUUUAAAUAAACAGAAAUUCAAUGCACCAAAAAUCAUUCAAACAUGUAAUGCAAUGAAUAAAAUUAAACAACAAGCACCAAUCAAAGCAUUACACUAAAGAUAAAAAAAUGACUAAGACGAGGAGCAAGGAAAGAUAUCACCUUUACGGAUCCAAACUUGUCGGAUCGUUGGUUUUCUCGACUUGUCGACGUUAGGUGACGUUUGUUUAGACUUUUGAUCAACCGUUGGUGUUUUCUUCGGUUGAGGCUUGUGCACCUGUUUUGCAUGAACUUGGCGUUGUGCAUUAGAAGACCGGUUCGCUUGUGGCUUAGGUAAGAUCCGAUUCUUUUGAGGCACUUGACUUAAAUUAUUUUGCUUUUGAUUCCGUGGGAAAUGUCGAAUAGUAGAUGACGCCGAUGGAUGUUUUGAAUUUGCCGAUUGUGACUUGCCAUUUUUGUUUGGGCAAUUCCUUUUGAUGUGUCCUUCGAUGCCACAUCGAUGACACACUUUGCCUUUUGAAGUUGUUGAGACUUUAGAUGUCGCCGUUUGAUCCUUCUCAACAUAUGUCCGUUCAUAUCCAAGACCCAUUUUGCUCGUUUGACCCAAUCCAAGCAUUUUGUCCAACUUCUUUGAUCCCGAAGAAAAUUGUUGAAGAUCGGAUUGGAGUUGACGAACUUGAUCGGUCAAGACUUGAUUGGACUUGUGCGAUUCAUGAAAUUGAUGCUCCAAAAAUCCAAUCUUGUCGUUAGAAGAUUUGAUCAUUGAUUCCGCUUCAUCUAGCUUCUCUUGGAGGAUUGAAUUAUUUUUCAAAUUUGAUUCUCUUUCCUCCUCGAGAGCUUUAUUCAAAGUCUUCAUGUUGUUGUUUUCCUCCUCAAGUUCCAACAAACGACGUCUCAACUUCUUAUUGAGUUUAGCCAUCUUCUUUGAUUCAAUAAGAAGUUGAUUGUACGCUUCUGCUAUGUCGUCGUCGUUUGAUUCCUCUUCACUUUCGCCAUUGUUGCUCGAUGAAUCAUGUGAAGAAAGAGAAAUAUUGGAGUUAGUAGCAACAGAGGAUAAACACACAACAUUCGACGAAGGAGUAUUAGCAAAUAAGGCAAUUUGAUCAUUCUUUUCUUCGUCACUUGACGAUGAUUCACUUGAUGUUGAAUCAUCCCACGUCUUUGCUUGCAUAGCCUUUUGUCUAUACGUCUUCUUUGAAGGACAAUCCGUCGCAAUGUGGCCGUAGCCUUUGCACUUGAAGCAUUGGAUCUCGCCUUCAAAUACAUCCUUUUCCUUUGAAGACUUUGCACGAUUUUUAUCCUUAGACUUUGAAGACGAAGAUGAUUUAGACAAAGAUUGUCGCUUAGACGAUGAAGCCUUGUCCAAUCUAUUCUUGUUCCGAAAAUUUCGACGAAACUUCUUCGUAAGAAGCGCCAAUUGUUGUUCAAAGUCCGCAAUUGAUAGAUCAUCGUCGGAACUCGAGUCUUCGUCCUUCUCCUUUGUAGAUUUCAAUGCAACACCUGUGCUUUUAGAAGAAGACUUGGAAGAAGAUUGAUUAGUAGGAAAAGUCAUUUCAUACGUUUGUAAAGCUCCUACUAAUUCUUCUACUUUCAUCUUGUCCGGAUGCUUGACCGUUUCGAUCGUGGCGACCUUUGCCCGAAAGCGUUCCGGAAGAGUUCGAAGGAUUUUCCUAACAACCUUUGAAUCCGGGAUUUUCUCUCCCAAGUUAGCACAUGUGUUCACAACAUCUUGUAGACGUGUAUAGUACUCGGUAAAGGUCUCAUUUUCGUCCAUAGACAUUGAAUCAAACUUGCUAGUUAGCAUUUGCAAUUUUUGGACCUUUACUAAGCUUGUUCCUUCAUGCGUAACUUGUAGAGUAUCCCAAAUUUCUUUUGCCGUUUCGCAUGCCGAAACUCGAGUAAACUCUGUUUGUGAUAAAGCGUUGAAUAAAGCAUUAAUUCCUUUACCAUUAAACGAAGAUGACUCGUUUUCAUCUUUAGUCCACUUGUUUCGUGGUUUAGGGACGGUAGCACCAUCGACAACUUCAGUAGGAUGUUUCCAUCCGAAUUCAAUAGCUUUCCAUACCCGCUCAUCGAUUGCGAUUAGAAAAGCUCUCAUGCGAACUUUCCAAUAGGCAUAAUUCGUGCCGUCGAAGAGCGGAGGUCGAUUAAUGUUACCACCUUCGGCCAUUAGUUAACAAUUUAUCUAGAUCCUGCUCUGAUACCAAUUGAAAGUUUUGAGGAGCCCAAGAAUCUAUCUAGAUUGUAUCUAUCACCUAGAGGGGGGUGAAUAGGUGAAAGGCCAAAAAAUCACAAAUCUCGAUGCAAUAAAAAUAAAUGCGAAAAAUAAAAAGCACACCGAGAUUUACGUGGGAAAACUCCAACUUGGAGAAAAACCCACGCGACCAACACGCGAAAAAACAAUUCACUAAGAGAAAAGAUUACAAGGUGAUUACCGACUCCACGGACUCAACCUCUCUUAACCUCCUAUGAAUCUUCGCGCUACCCUCCGGGUUGUCCACGCCCUCACGUUCGAGUCCACGAACGCCUCCACUUCGAAUCCACAAAGCUUCAAUCACGCCGAAUCCACGACGCCACUCGAAUCCACGAGCCCACGAUCCGAAUUCACGAACCGCCGUCAAAUACGCCGAAUCCACGACGCCACCAUGAAGAAUAUCA